rnacentral:rRNA from 1 species
GAACGAGGAUAUAUCCUUCGGGAUAUAAGCCGAGUGGCGAAAGGGUGAGUAAUGCACAGACAACCUGCCUUUAGGAUAAGAAUAACUCUGUGAAAGCGGGGCUAAUACUUAAUAAUACAAAGGAAAGGUUCUUUUCUUUGUUAAAGGAGGGUAUGUAAAUACCUUGCGCCUAAAGAGGGGUUUAUGUCCUAUCAGCUUGUUGGUGGGGUAACGGCCUACCAAGGCGAAGACGGGUAACCGGCCUUAGAGGGUAGUCGGUCACACUGGAACUGAGACACUGUCCAGACUUCUACGGAAGGCUGCAGUCGAGAAUCU